GCCAUGAUAGCUGAGUGGUUAAGGUUCUAGAUUAGAAAUCUAAUAGGGGUUUCCCUGUGCAGGUUCAGAUCUUGCUCACAGUG
rnacentral:tRNA from 1 species